AACCCCAAACAAAGCAGCCGCUGAUGCGUGACUAUAAAAACGGACCAGCUGAGCGCCUUCGUUCAACCGCUUGCUUCCCAAAACCCUAAAACUCAACGAGCGUUGGGUUUUUCUUUUCAAGCUUCUCUGCACCGUCUUUGUUUCUGAAACUCCGUUGGUUUCUUCUUUUGCGUUACUAAGAUGGGCAAAUCCAGCAAGAAAUCAGCUCCCAAGGUUGACCCUGCUCCGGCUGUUGUUCCGCCUUUGAAGUCUGCAAAGAAAGGCAAGAGGGAAGCUGAGGAUGAACUUGAGAAGCACGUGAGUGCAAAGAAGCAGAAGAGAGAUGAAGUUGCUGAGAAGAAGAAUGCCAAGGUGCAGAAAAACAAGAAGGAAAGUAGUUCAGAUGAUUCCUCUUCAUCAGAUUCUGAGGAAGACAAGAAAACAGCCCCAAAAGCUGUUCUUCCAUCGAAGACACAACUUUCUAAGAAUGGUGCUCUAAGUGGCCGGGUGAACAAAGGCAAGCCAGCUAGUAGUUCCAGUUCUUCUGAAUCCUCUGACGAUGAGUCCGACAGUGAUGAUGCUGGAAAAACCAAGGUAGCCUCUGCUGCUGGCAAGAAUGGAGCUCUGACAAAGAAGAAAGUUGAGUCUAGUGACAGCUCUGAUACUGAUAGCAGCUCAGAUGAAGAAAAUGAUGUGAGAACUAAAGUUGCCCCGCUAUCCAAAAAGGUACCUGUUUCUGCCACUAAGAAAGUUGAAUCAGACUCGGAAUCUGACAGCAGCUCUGAUGAGGAUGAUGUCCCUACUAAAUCAUCCAAGAAGUUGUUGGCUGCUCCUGCUGCAGGUAAAAGUAUGCCUGCCAAAAAAAUUGGGUCAAGUGAUGACACAGCCUCAGAUAGUAGCUCAGAUGAUGAUGAUCUAACGACAAGGGUACCUGCUGCAUCAAAGAAGUUGCCUGCUACAGCAGUUCCUUCAAAGAAAAAAGUUGAGAGCAGUGAAAGCACCGAUGAUGAAUCAAGUGAGAGCUCUGAUGAAGAUAAUGGUAUGAAGUCUUCUGUCAAAGCAGUUCCCAAGCCUUCCAAUACUCGAAAGAAGGCUGAAUCAAGUGAGAGCUCAGAUUCUGAUAGCAGUAGCUCUGAGGAAGACACCAAAAAUAAAAAAGGAUCCAACAUUGCUUCCAAUAAGAAGCCAGAAAGGGCUUCUGAGAAGAUUUCCAAGUUAAAGGAAAGUUCUGAUGAGACUGAUUCUGAUGACGAGGAGGAGUCCUCUGACAGUGAUUCUGAGGAUGAGAAGAAAACUGUUCCUAAGGCUAGUGCUAAAGCAGCUGCUGCAGUGAAGACAGCUAAAGGGGAACCUAGUGAAAGUUCAUCUGAAGAUGACUCUUCAGAAGAUGAGAAAACUGCGCCCCAGGCUCAUAUCAAAGCAUCUGCUGGUGUGAAGACAGUUAAAAAGGAGUCUAGUGAUAGCUCAUCUGAAGAUGACUCUUCUGAAGAUGAGGAUAAGAUGGAUGUUGAUGAAGAAAGCGAGGAGGAGCCACCAAAGAAAAAGUCUCAAAAAGUUUCAAAGGAAAGCAAUGAAAAUUCAGAGAGCUCAGAUGAUAGCGAAGAUGAUGAUGAUGAGACACCUUCCAAGACUCGGAAAUAUGCUAAGGAUUUGGAGAUGGUUGAUGCUGCAUCGGCAAAGUCAAAUGGAAAGAAAACUCCUAGCACCCCUGCUACUCCAAAAGUACAGAAUGUGGCAUCAAAGUCACUAUUUGUUGGAAAUUUGUCAUUUAAAGUAUCACGGGCUGAUGUGGAAGACUUCUUUAAAGAUUGUGGAGAAGUGGUUGAUGUCCGUUUGGCCUCAGAUGAAAAUGGGAGAUUUAAAGGUUUUGGGCAUGUCGAAUUUGCCACAGAAGAAGCCGCACAAAAUGCCCUUGAGUUGAAUGGGGAAGAAUUGCUUCAGCGUCCUGUCAGACUUGAUUUGGCUCGUGAAAGGGGAGCCUAUACCCCUUCUAGCGGCAACUUUAGCAAUGCAUUCCAGAAAGGAGGACAAGCUCAAGUGCAUACAAUAUUUAUCAAGGGUUUUGAUGCAUCCCAAGGGGAAGAUGUGAUUAAAACAAACCUCAAAGAGCAUUUCAGUUGUGGAGAGAUUACAAGGAUAUCAAUUCCUAAAGAUUAUGAUAGUGGAGCUGUCAAGGGGUAUGCCUACAUUGAUUUCAAGGAUGUUGAUGCCUUCAACAAAGCGCUAGAAUUGAAUGGUAGUGAGCUUGGAGGUGGUUAUUAUUUGACAGUUGAUGAGGCAAAACCUCGAGUUGAUAAUCAAGGUGCAAGUGGUGGUAGAGGUGGUGGAAGGAGUGGUGGUAGAGGCGGAAGAGGUGGCGGCGGGCAAUUUGGUGGAAGAGGUGGUGGCGGUCAAUUUGGUGGAAGAGGUGGCAGAGGUGGUCGCGGAAGAGGUGGUGGUGGCAGGGGGCGUGGUACGCCCAAUAGACCAAGUCUUGCUGCUGCAGGCACAGGGACAAAGACCACAUUCGAGGACGAUGAUUAAAGGAACGGUUACUGAGAAUUUUCUGUUCUAUAUUUAUUACGUUCCUUGCUCCAGUUUUGUGGAUGUCAGGUGCUGUUAAGUCGAGAGGAACGAGGAAUCUCAUCAAAUAUUGUUUACCUGUCGAGUAGGAAUCGCAUCAAAUGUGGCAACGCCACCCAACCCAGCACCAUAUAUCAAACAAUCGUCACCAUUGAAAGGAGCAGCAGAUGUAUGCGGCCAGGCUUUAUUAUUAUUGUCAGCAUAGAAAAGAAGGGAUGAAUAAAAAAUUGUUGAGGUUCUCGCUGGGGCAGCGUUUCCACUA